rnacentral:lncRNA from 1 species
GCCCCCCCACCCCGCUGCGUCCUCUCCACGCGCACGUUAGCAAUCCCCCACUCCAACGGAAAUCCACAUCUUCCUAAUCUUGCGACCCCCAUAACCUUUAAGGAAUUAGAUUCCUACCCUCCAUGAUAAUCAGCCACCGCGCCUUUAUCAUGGAUAUUAGCGGUUUGAGGUCUUAUGGCUAUUACUUUGAGGGCGAGGGACUGACUGAAAAUAAUUGAUUAUAACAGGGUAAACAUGAAUACUCCAUUAAAAUAAAUAACUAAAUAAAUAAAGAAGAACG